rnacentral:rRNA from 1 species
UAGCGCAGGCGGUUUCGCAAGUCAGAUGUGAAAGCCCCGGGCUUAACCUGGGAACUGCAUUUGAAACUACGAGGCUAGAGUGUGUCAGAGGGGGUAGAAUUCACGUGUAGCAGUGAAAUGCGUAGAGAUGUGGAGGAAUACCGAUGGCGAAGGCAGCCCCUGGGAUAACACUGACGCUCAUGCACGAAAGCGUGGGGAGCAAACA